UACGAAGGGGGCUAGCGUUGCUCGGAAUCACUGGGCGUAAAGGGUGCGUAGGCGGGUCUUUAAGUCGAGGGGUGAAAUCCUGGAGCUCAACUCCAGAACUGCCUUUGAUACUGAAGAUCUUGAGUUCGGGAGAGGUGAGUGGAACUGCGAGUGUAGAGGUGAAAUUCGUAGAUAUUCGCAAGAACACCAGUGGCGAAGGCGGCUCACUGGCCCGAUACUGACGCUGAGGCACGAAAGCGUGGGGAGCAAACAGG
rnacentral:rRNA from 1 species